GCUUAUGAGUGCAGUUUGAAGAGGCAUAUGUUUAGCCACACUGGUGAGAAACCUUUUUCGUGCUCAGUUUGUGGCCAGACAUUCUCCCAGAAGGGGACCUUAAAAAUACACACAAGAACUCACACUGGUGAGAAAUCUUUUGCCUGCACAUCUUGUGGUCAAAGAUUUUCAGAUAAGGGAUCCUU